rnacentral:rRNA from 1 species
UACAGAGGGUGCAAGCGUUGUUCGGAAUUAUUGGGCGUAAAGCGCGUGUAGGCGGCUUUGCAAGUCGGGUGUGAAAGCCCACAGCUUAACUGUGGAAGUGCGCCCGAAACUGCAGAGCUUGAGUGUCAAAGAGGAUGGCGGAAUUCCCCAAGUAGAGGUGAAAUUCGUAGAUAUGGGGAGGAACACCGGUGGCGAAGGCGGCCAUCUGGGUGAUAACUGACGCUGAGACGCGAAAGCGUGGGUAGCAAACGAGGA